ACAUGUGUGCUGCUCUUUUUGUACUUGCAUUGUGAUAUCAUACAUCCACUUGCAGAGACAGAACUUGCAUGCUGUGAUUCUACAGACUCUGCUGCUUUAACAUUUUUCUAUUCAUAACUUGCAUGGCACAAAGAACCAUGGAAAGAUACAUGCUCGGCAUUACAAGACAAGAUAGAAAGACCCACAUGUGGAUAAGAGAACAAUCAAAAGUAUACAAUAUCAUCAAGAGGGUAAAAGAAUUGAAAUGGAAAAGGACUGGUCACAUAGAAAAAGAACUGAUGGCAGGUGGACCAAGGCAGUCCUAGAAUGGAUCCCACUUGAUAAAAAGCAUCCAUGAAAGAGACCUAAAACAAGAUGGAUUGACAACAUCAGCAAGUAUGGACCCAGUUGGCAAAAGAAAGCUCAGGAUCGUAUUGGUUGGAAACAUGUGGAAGAGGCCUUCAACUUGCAGUGGAUAGGCAAUGGCUAAAAUGAUGACUAUGAUGACUUCGCUAGGAAUUGUAGCAUAUAACAAUCAUAUUCUUGUAAUGUUAUAGGUAUCCACAACCAUACAGAGAUAUGGGUAGAACUGGCAAAUGAAAUGAAGAUCAAUGAUUUGUUCCCUCAAGCCAUUAUUUCAUAUCACAGAAUCAUCAGGAAUGCAUCCAGUCAAAAGUCAUAUAUCAGAGUAUGUCUGGUAUCAAUUGCUUUUCUUUGGAAUACGGACCGAUCAUUUUCCUUGGGAUAUCAUAUGGAACAUAAUUGUCCGGCUGAAAGGCUGGGAUUCAGUUCUUUAAUACACAAGCAAAGCAGGAACUAAUAAUAGUCAGGUUAGUGUUGCAGUUAUUCCCAUGAACCACUGGACAUUGGAAAUAUGAAAACCGAGUGCCAUCUAGUGCUCAGUGAGGGCAAAGCAAAUGUAAAUUGUUGAUCCAAAUUGUCAGGAUGACAAAUUUUAUCUUAAUAAAAGAAGAAACAUAAUAAUA